AUGAACGCUGGCGGCAUGCCUAACACAUGCAAGUCGAACGAAGGCUUCGGCCUUAGUGGCGCACGGGUGCGUAACGCGUGGGAAUCUGCCCUUGGGUUCGGAAUAACAGUUAGAAAUGACUGCUAAUACCGGAUGAUGACGUAAGUCCAAAGAUUUAUCGCCCAAGGAUGAGCCCGCGUAGGAUUAGCUUGUUGGUGAGGUAAAGGCUCACCAAGGCGACGAUCCUUAGCUGGUCUGAGAGGAUGAUCAGCCACACUGGGACUGAGACACGGCCCAGACUCCUACGGGAGGCAGCAGUGGGGAAUAUUGGACAAUGGGCGAAAGCCUGAUCCAGCAAUGCCGCGUGAGUGAUGAAGGCCUUAGGGUUGUAAAGCUCUUUUACCCGGGAUGAUAAUGACAGUACCGGGAGAAUAAGCUCCGGCUAACUCCGU
rnacentral:rRNA from 1 species